ACAAGCAGAGGGGGCUUAGUGGUGGGGUGACUGCGUACCUUUUGUAUAAUGGGUCAGCGACUUAUAUUCUGUAGCAAGGUUAACCGAAUAGGGGAGCCGGAGGGAAACCGAGUCUUAAUUGGGCGUUAAGUUGCAGGGUAUAGACCCGAAACCCGGUGAUCUAGCCAUGGGCAGGUUGAAGGUUGGGUAACACUAACUGGAGGACCGAACCGACUAAUGUUGAAAAAUUAGCGGAUGACCUGUGGCUGGGGGUGAAAGGCCAAUCAAACCGGGAGAUAGCUGGUUCUCCCCGAAAGCUAUUUAGGUAGCGCCUCGUGAAUUCAUCUCCGGGGGUAGAGCACUGUUUCGGCUAGGGGGCCAUCCCGGCUUACCAACCCGAUGCAAACUGCGAAUACCGGAGAAUGUUAUCACGGGAGACACACGGCGGGUGCUAACGUCCGUCGUGAAGAGGGAAACAACCCAGACCGCCAGCUAAGGUCCCAAAGUCAUGGUUAAGUGGGAAACGAUGUGGGAAGGCCCAGACAGCCAGGAUGUUGGCUUAGAAGCAGCCAUCAUUUAAAGAAAGCGUAAUAGCUCACUGGUCGAGUCGGCCUGCGCGGAAGAUGUAACGGGGCUAAACCAUGCACCGAAGCUGCGGCAGCGAACGUAUCACCCAAGACAACUUUACGGAGUUGACGAUUGACGGAGCGAAGCGACGUCAAAGCGUUCAUUAAAGUCGAGUUGGCUUAGGGAUACGUUCGUUGGGUAGGGGAGCGUUCUGUAAGCCUGUGAAGGUGUGUCGUGAGGCAUGCUGGAGGUAUCAGAAGUGCGAAUGCUGACAUAAGUAACGAUAAAGCGGGUGAAAAGCCCGCUCGCCGGAAGACCAAGGGUUCCUGUCCAACGUUAAUCGGGGCAGGGUGAGUCGACCCCUAAGGCGAGGCCGAAAGGCGUAGUCGAUGGGAAACGGGUUAAUAUUCCCGUACUUGGUGUUACUGCGAAGGGGGGACGGAGAAGGCUAUGUUGGCCGGGCGACGGUUGUCCCGGUUUAAGCGUGUAGGUGUGUGUUCCAGGUAAAUCCGGUUCACUUUAACACUGAGGCGUGACGACGAGGCACUACGGUGCUGAAGCAACAAAUGCCCUGCUUCCAGGAAAAGCCUCUAAGCAUCAGGUAACACGAAAUCGUACCCCAAACCGACACAGGUGGUCAGGUAGAGAAUACCAAGGCGCUUGAGAGAACUCGGGUGAAGGAACUAGGCAAAAUGGUGCCGUAACUUCGGGAGAAGGCACGCUGACACGUAGGUGAAGUGAUUUACUCAUGGAGCUGAAGUCAGUCGAAGAUACCAGCUGGCUGCAACUGUUUAUUAAAAACACAGCACUGUGCAAACACGAAAGUGGACGUAUACGGUGUGACGCCUGCCCGGUGCCGGAAGGUUAAUUGAUGGGGUCAGCGUAAGCGAAGCUCCUGAUCGAAGCCCCGGUAAACGGCGGCC
rnacentral:rRNA from 1 species